CUGAUGGUCAUUGGUUAUGAAGUCGGUUGAGUCACCAUAACUGAAUUGUAUUUGUCAAGUUGAGAAUAACCGACUGUUGGUCGGCUUACUGAUUGAUAGUGGUCUGUACCUAUUAGGCUGAUUGAAAGUCGAAUGAUAUAUUGUAAUUGAGGUGAAACUCAUUCUAUGAUGUAGCUUUGAUGGUUUAUCAUCCAUAAUCGAUAGAUAUUCGAUCGACCGACU
rnacentral:lncRNA from 1 species